GAUGAGUACAUGAGGGAUAGAUGUGUCUGAGACUAUACAGCUAAUAAGUGAUUGGACUAAAAUAGAAGCAUCGACAUCCUGAGCUGUAAGAUACUUCCACUUCCUGUCUGGUUCUCUUUGAUACCAGCCUCUCUGACAUCACUGGGGAAAUGCCAGCCUAUGGAAGACAACCUCUGAGUCUCCUGGUGCCAAAACCAAGAACUUACUUGCAUCUACAUGUAAAUCAGAUUUUCCCUUGGGCAGCAUGGAGCAAAUCCCACUGUGAAAAGGGUUCCUCCAUCUUUCUCUUUGUCAGACUGCAUGCUGAGUCACAGGAUGGACCAGAUGUGUUGGUGUGAGAUGAAGUCAGGCUGGGAGACAAGAUGGCAGGCUGAGAACUGGGGCUGGCCCUUCCUGUGCUGUUCCUUCCGGUAUGGUCCUCCAGCCCUUCUGGAUUGUGAUAAAGUGAUUUUCUUUGGCCCAUGGAAUGUGGUAGCAGUGAUUAAACCUAAGACUGUAAUAGCUGUGUGCACUCCUGCUCUUUCAUUGAAUCCCUGCCACCACCAUAAGGACAAGUCCUGAGUUAGCCUACUGAAGGAUGAGAGACUACAUGAAGGAGAACUGAGUCACUCCAACUUAAGGCCAAACUACAGCAGCAUGCUACAGCCUGUCUGUUGUGUGCAGAAUCAUGGGCAAGGUCAGUCAACAUCAAGUGAGCCAAGAAAGUCACCCAGCAAACUUGUAGAUUGGGUAGCAAAAAAUAAAUAUUUAUUUUUAUUUGUCACA
rnacentral:lncRNA from 1 species